ensembl:lncRNA novel transcript, antisense to PDILT
AGGCCAAAUUGAGCCCCUGCAGUUGCCCUGCAUGUAAUUGGACAGGGGACUUUCGCAGGAUGUCAGUUCCAGGAGGGCAAGGAUGAUCACCUGUUUUGUUCACCACUAUAUCCUCAGUGCCUACAAUAUAUCUGGGAAAUAACCGUAUUCAAUAAAUACUGAAGGAAUGAAGUUUCCAAUGAUCAGCACAGUGCAAGAAGAUGAAUUUAGCACCAGUUUUGGUGUCAAGCUUGGUCUCAAAUCCAGUCUUCACCACUUACCAGUUGUGUGACCUUGGGCAAAUGAUCUAACCUUUCUGACACCUACGUGCUUCAUAUACAAGAUGGGGACAAGGUUUUCAAGUGCCGUGCCUGAAACACAGGUGCUUGAUAAAUGGCCUUUGUUAUCAUCACCAUUGUUGUCAUUAUCAUCACCAUAACCAUCAUCACCAGCACCAUCAUCACCACUGUCAUCACCAUCACCAUAACAAUCAUCGUCACCAGCACCAUCAUCACCAUUGUCAUUAUCAUCAGCAUAGUUAAUAAUCAUUAUUACCAGUACCAUCAUUGCCAUUGUCAUCAUCACCAUCAUAACAAUUAUCACCAGCACCAUCAUCGCCAUUGUCAUCAUCAUCAC